GGGGACCCGCAAGCGGUGGAGCAUGUGGUUUAAUUCGAAGCAACGCGAAGAACCUUACCAAAUCUUGACAUCCUCUGAACGCUAUAGAGAUAUAGUUUCCCUUCGGGGCAGAGUGACAGGUGGUGCAUGGUUGUCGUCAGCUCGUGUCGUGAGAUGUUGGGUUAAGUCCCGCAACGAGCGCAACCCUUAAUAUUAGUUGCCAUCAUUCAGUUGGGCACUCUAAUGUGACUGCCGGUGACAAACCGGAGGAAGGUGGGGACGACGUCAAAUCAUCAUGCCCCUUAUGAUUUGGGCUACACACGUGCUACAAUGGGCAGGAACAAAGGGCAGCUAAACCGCGAGGUCAUGCGAAUCCCAUAAAACUGUUCUCAGUUCGGAUUGGAGUCUGCAACUCGACUCCAUGAAGCUGGAAUCGCUAGUAAUCGUAGGUCAGCAUACUACGGUGAAUACGUUCCCGGGUCUUGUACACACC
rnacentral:rRNA from 1 species